rnacentral:rRNA from 1 species
UACGUAGGGGGCAAGCGUUGUUCGGAAUCACUGGGCGUAAAGCGCACGUAGGCGGAUCUUUAAGUCAGGGGUGAAAUCCCGAGGCUCAACCUCGGAACUGCCUUUGAUACUGGGGAUCUCGAGUCCGGGAGAGGUGAGUGGAACUGCGAGUGUAGAGGUGAAAUUCGUAGAUAUUCGCAAGAACACCAGUGGCGAAGGCGGCUCACUGGCCCGGAACUGACGCUGAGGUGCGAAAGCGUGGGGAGCAAACAGG